rnacentral:rRNA from 1 species
UAGGGAAUCUUCGGCAAUGGACGAAAGUCUGACCGAGCAACGCCGCGUGAGUGAAGAAGGUUUUCGGAUCGUAAAACUCUGUUGUUAGAGAAGAACAAGGACGUUAGUAACUGAACGUCCCCUGACGGUAUCUAACCAGAAAGCCACGGCUAACUACGUGCCAGCAGCCGCGGUAAUACGUAGGUGGCAAGCGUUGUCCGGAUUUAUUGGGCGUAAAGCGAGCGCAGGCGGUUUCUUAAGUCUGAUGUGAAAGCCCCCGGCUCAACCGGGGAGGGUCAUUGGAAACUGGGAGACUUGAGUGCAGAAGAGGAGAGUGGAAUUCCACGUGUAGCGGUGAAAUGCGUAGAUAUAUGGAGGAACACCAGUGGCGAAGGCGGCUCUCUGGUCUGUAACUGACGCUGAGGCUCGAAAGCGUGGGGAGCAAACAGG